rnacentral:lncRNA from 1 species
UUUGUACCGGUACACUUUCAUUUUGUACCAGUACACUUAUCUGUACCAGUUACAACUCGAUCGUUGUACCGGUACACUUUACCCAGACUUAGUUUUUUGCUCCGUUUCGAUUCUAUUUCGCACCGAACAACGCUAAAACCUUUCCAACUCAUUCUAAACUCACUUUUAACCCUUCCAACCUUGUUGGAAUGUUAAAUAGAACUUG